GAUUUUUUAUUCAACUAUGAUUUUGAAGUGCAAAUUCAAAGGUAACUUUAGAGUUAAAAAUUU
rnacentral:tRNA from 1 species